GGGUGUCACAGUCCAGGUACUCCUGUCUGGGUGACACAGUCCAGGUACUCCUGUCUGGGUGACACAGUCCAGGUACUCCUGUCUGGGUGUCACUGUCCAGGUACUCCUGUCUGGGUGACACAGUCCAGGUACUCCUGUCUGGGUAACACAGUCCAGGUACUCCUGUCUGGGUGACACAGUCCAGGUACUCCUGUCUGGGUGUCACAGUCCAGGUACUCCUGUCUGGGUAACACAGUCCAGGUACUCCUGUCUGGGUAACACAGUCCAGGUACUCCUGUCUGGGUGACACAGUCCAGGUACUCCUGUCUGGGUGACACAGUCCAGGUACUCCUGUCUGGGUAACACAGUCCAUGUACUCCUGUCUGGGUACCAUGGUCCAGGUACUCCUGUCUGGGUGUCACAGUCCAGGUACUCCUGUCUGGGUACCAUGGUCCAGGUACUCCUGUCUGGGUAACACAGUCUAGGUACUCCUGUCUGGGUGUCACAGUCCAGGUACUCCUGUCUGGGUAACACAGUCCAGGUACUCCUGUCUGGGUAACACAGUCCAGGUACUCCUGUCUGGGUGACACAGUCCAGGUACUCCUGUCUGGGUGACACAGUCCAGGUACUCCUGUCUGGGUAACACAGUCCAGGUACUCCUGUCUGGGUACCAUGGUCCAGGUACUCCUGUCUGGGUGUCACAGUCCAGGUACUCCUGUCUGGGUACCAUGGUCCAGGUACUCCUGUCUGGGUACCAUGGUCCAGGUACUCCUGUCUGGGUAACACAGUCUAGGUACUCCUGUCUGGGUAUCACAGUCCAGGUACUCCUGUCUGGGUGUCACAGUCCAGGUACUCCUGUCUGGGUAACACAGUCCAGGUACUCCUGUCUGGGUAACACAGUCCAGGUACUCCUGUCUGGGUAACACAGUCCAGGUACUCCUGUCUGGGUGUCACAGUCCAGGUACUCCUGUCUGGGUGACACAGUCCAGGUACUCCUGUCUGGGUGACACAGUCCAGGUACUCCUGUCUGGGUGACACAGUCCAGGUACUCCUGUCUGGGUAACACAGUCCAGGUACACAGGAUUAAGGUAUGUACGUCUCUAGACAUUGCAGUCCAGAUUUACUGAUGACCAAAACAGGCAUCAGUCUGUCAAAAUGUCUGGUGUAGGGGCCAGAGAAAACUUUGGCUUUACGAUUGAUGUUUUUAAUGCCACAUUCAGAAAUAACUAUGAUAAUCCUGGAACUGUGUUUCAUAAGAAAUUGUAUUGAAGUAAAAAAAAAAUUUAAUAUUUCAUUCCAACUUAUUUAUUUUUUAUUUGAUCAGUAAAUUAAUAGAAAUUAUUUUUAUUUGACUUUAAAUGUGUAAUUUCUAGUCAAAGUAGUCACAGAUUAUUUACAUACCCUGGUACAUUGAAUUGUGUAAUAUUAUGUUGUCUUUUUUGUUUUGUUUUUUAUCAUAUUGAUUUUUUUUUUUCAGUGAUCUCAAAUAAAUUACACAGUCAUUAAAGUAUUUAAUUUACCCACAGGUACUUAAUAUGACAUUGUAUUAAUAAGAUAAUGGUUUUCCUAUUUUACAAUGGUAAUAUUUACCAGAACUGUAUAGUGACACCUUUUAAACUGCUGCAGAAUUUGAGAAUACAAUUCUGUGGUCAAAAGUAUAUUUCAAAGCAUUGAUUCACAGUGUUUGAAAAGUCACAAACAGAAACAGUUCUACAAGCUUAUGAUAGGUUUAAUAUGUUACUUGAAGAAAGCUUUUUGCUGUACAAAAAAAAGUACACAAUUUGGUGAAUUGUUUAGAUCCCAUGUUAUGAUACAAGAAACAUUUUUGAAGGGUUACAAUAUUUGUUUGCUGGCUGUAUUUAUCGCCUUUUAACAGCCAAAACAUUUUGAGGGGGAGAGGGGUCUCAUUGUAGUACAUAGUUGGUAACAAGAUAUUAAUUGAUACAUUUUUACUGUUGUCUGAUGGGGCAUGGAUCACAAUUUAGGUACAAACAUCAUGAAUUGUUGUAGAUUAUGGAUGUUUUAUGCAUUUUAUAUAUAUUUUUUUUUUUUUUUUUUUUAUAGAUUACAUUUUAGAUUUAUUGUGAACGGCAGUACCUUGGGCAUUUCUAUAUACCAUUUAUACAAAACUGUAAUAUUUUUUUUUUAUUUUUUAUGUUAGUACUGAUGGUUACUCACAUGAAAUAUAUAAGAAAGAAAAGAUGGGAGGACUCCAGCAGGAACCACAGAAGAAUUGAUUUUUUCACACAGUACCAUAUAACAGUCUACAUCAUCAAACCCACCAUGUAUACAGUACAAUUUCUUGAAUUCUGGAGUCCUCCCAUGGGGUGUAUACUGUAUGUUACCUGUGAUAGCCCUAAAUCUAUAACGAGAUGACUCUUCUGUAUUAGUAUAGCUAUCUUUUUCUUUAUUUGAUAUGAAUAUGAGGUAUGAUAUAACAUUCAUGAAAUUUUUAACUUCAUGGUUGCAAAAUUAUAAGUUUUUAUUAAAUGUGUACAAGUGUUCGCAUUUCUUUUUCUUUUAUAAUAUAUGAAAUACAGGUAUUUCAAAAUAUUUGUCUCAAUUAGUUUUACAAUUUCACAGAAAUAUAUGUAUUCAAGAAUAUUGAAACAAAAUGAUUUAAUUAUUUUCCUACUUUGCUUUGAUCAACAAAGAGAAUUGUUUUGUUUUGUAUGUUUGUUAAGAAUAUUUUGGAUGAAAAUGUAUUGAUACAAAUAUAAUAAUUAUCUGAUGUGUGUUUAUGUAUUUUUUACAUAUCAAGAGAUAUGUAAAUUUCUCUGCUUGGAACUUGCCAAACUUGUAUAGCUGGAUAAAGGGAGGUAACUGUAAGGGUGAAAGAGAGAUAAAAGUCGUGUCAAACUUGUACAUCAGCGGGUAAAAAUGGGAAUCAGUUCAGGCUAUAGAAGGGAGGCAAGUGAGAGGGAGGGUGAUGAUUAACUGUCAAAGCUUUGCCAAGCUUGUAUAUCAGCAAUGCAAACGGGAAGCUGUAAAACUGAUAAAAGGGAGACAAUUGAGAGGGAGGAAGGGAUAUAACUAGCAAAGCCUUGUUAAACAUGUUCAAUAGCAAUACAAAUGAGAAGCUGUAAAGCUGGUAGCAGGGAGGCAACUGAGAUAAAAGGGAGGCAACUGAGAUAAAAGGGAGGCAACUGAGAUAGAAGGGAGGCAACUGAGAUAGAAGGGAGGCAACUGAGAUAGCAGGGAGGCAACUGAGAUAGAAGGGAGGCAACUGAGAUAGCAGGGAGGCAACUGAGAUAGCAGGGAGGCAACUGAGAUAAAAGGGAGGCAACUGAGAUAGCAGGGAGGCAACUGAGAUAAAAGGGAGGCAACUGAGAUAAAAGGGAGGCAACUGAGAUAGAAGGGAGGCAAUCGAGAGUGAGAAAGGGUGAUUAUUCACUGUCAAAGCCUUGCCGUUCAGCAACAGGUACAAAUCUGAAGUUGUAUUGUUGAAUAGAAUGAAGGCAACUGUAAGGAUGAAAGGGAAUAAACUGUAAAUGUCUGAACGCCAUACCAAAUUUGUAUAUCAACAGAUACAAAUGGGAAUCUGUGUAGCUGAUGGAAGGGAGAUAACUAAUGCUAUAAAAGCAGGGUUAGAUAGAAUAAAGAUCAUUUAAAGUACCUAGCUAUACAAACAUUGAUGAAAGCACUAUAGGGAUCAGAUUUUGUACUUUUCAUUCCUUCAAUUAACUGAUUCCAUCAAUUUAAAGUAGGACCACAUGGCUGGAUAAUUUUGAAUAGUAACGAUAGUAUUAGCAUACGUUAGUGCAUAUAUAUUACUGUUCUUUAGAUACUUAUAUUAAGUUGUCUUGUUACUGUACAUGAAACUGUAAAAAUAGCUAAUAAUAUUAAGUUGUCUCAUUACUGUACAUGAAACUGAAGUUAGCUUUCAAAACAUGGUAGCCAGAUUCAUUAGAUAUAAUUUGUGGACAAUUUUGUAACUUAAUUUAAUACCAAUAAUUGUGAUUCAAAAUUUAUGUUACAUUUCUAUCUGAUGAAAUAAAAUCCGAUUAAAUUUAA